rnacentral:rRNA from 1 species
CACGUAGGGUGCGAGCGUUUGUCCGGAAUUAUUGGGCGUAAAGAGCUCGUAGGCGGUCUGUUGCGUCCGCUGUGAAAACUCGGGGCUUAACCCCGAGCCUGCAGUGGGUACGGGCAGGCUAGAGUGCGGUAGGGGAGAAUGGAACUCCUGGUGUAGCGGUGGAGUGCGCAGAUAUCAGGAAGAACACCGAUGGCGAAGGCAGUUCUCUGGGGCCGUAACUGACGCUGAGGAGACGAAAGCGUGGGGAGCGAACAGG